rnacentral:rRNA from 1 species
UACGAAGGGAGCUAGCGUUGUUCGGAAUCACUGGGCGUAAAGCGCACGUAGGCGGAUGUGUCAGUCAGGGGUGAAAUCCCGGAGCUCAACUUCGGAACUGCCUUUGAUACAGCACAUCUGGAGUCCGGAAGAGGUGGGUGGAAUUCCUAGUGUAGAGGUGAAAUUCGUAGAUAUUAGGAAGAACACCAAUGGCGAAGGGCAGCUCUCUGGGACGGUACUGACGCUGAGACGCGAAAGCGUGGGGAGCGAACAGG